CACCCGUCAAGCCUCGCUUGGUGUUGGGGGACGUCGCGCCUCGCGCGACCCCCCCGGAACCCGUUGGCGGUGGCCCUUCGCCCCGAUCGUCGCGCACGUUACGACGGCGCGGGGGGACCGCCCGCCCAACCGGCCGGCAACGGCCGCACAACACGCAAC
rnacentral:misc_RNA from 1 species